AUUAAAAUCCCCUAUUUUGUUUCUGCAUCAUUUCUUCUUUGUCAUCGACUCAUCGCAUAAUUCCUUUUCAAAAACGAAAGUUUAGGUUUUAGUUUAUCAGUUUGUUUUAGCUCGAUUAUCCAUAUCAAUUUGGCUUGAUCUCUCUUGCAAUCUCUUGUUCUUUUCGGUCUAAUUUUUUUUUUCUGAAACCCUAGAAAUUGAAAGAGAUUGGCACUAGAUCGGUGAUAAGGUUUGUGUAUAAAUCAGAUAAAGGAGGAGAUUUAAAACCGUAAGGUUUUGGUUCUCUAAUGGUUAAUGAAGAAAUUGAAGCAAAUACUCAACCACCAGAGAUAUCGAAUCUGAAAUUGAAAGUGCUCUGAGAUUGAUUCUUUUUUGCCAAUGAAGAAUCUGAACCAAAGAAGAUAGAAAUUAGUUUCUCCUUCUCAAGUUAACAGCUUAAUCCAAGUUUCUGUAAAAUAGAUUGGUUUGGUACAUUUAUGAAAGUUGAUCUAAAUUUGUAGAAGAUGGUGGGAUCGUAUUUCGAUUGAUGACCAAUGGCGGUUAGCUUGGGAGGGAUAGGAGAAAAUUAGGUGUGUUUUCAUGACUCUCUUUGUCCUCACCUUCAAAUGUCAUAACAUAGCAGUACAAAAACGACAGUAAGAGGAAAGUGUAGAAAGAAAUAAUAAGGAAGAAACAGUAUAGCUAGCUGAGAAAUGAUGAAGUGCUUCUACUCUAUACUAAUGAAGGGGUCUGAAUGGAACUGUUAGCUACGUAUAUGCUAUACAAUCUGACUACAGGGCAUGCAUUUUGAAAAAAAUGGGGAUACUAUGUUGGAAGCCACGUCAAGGUGAGAGCCAGUUGGAUGCUAUGCUGAGAGAAGAGAUUUUGACUGCUCUCUCCAUUUUUGGACAUGAUCUGCCGCUAAGAAAAGCAGUUUGACGUUUCCGUGCACGAUAGAAACACACCACUUCUCCCCCCGACUCAAGAAAGGAUCUUAGCGGUGGUCAAUUAGGAAAUUGGAGAAACAAGGUUUUGAAUCCUUCAAGCACAUGUCGGAUUGAAGAUGUUUAGACAUCAAUUGAGAGGUUGAAGAAAAAGGUUUGAGAUCAAUGGUGAAUACUCUUGUUUUGAGAGGAUCAAAAUCAGAUCCUGAUAUGUUUCUAACUAAAUUUUGGGAAGCUUGGAGAGCUAGAUCAUGGGAAGUAUUGAGUUCUGAGAAAUUUUGGAUCCGUGGAAAGUUUGACUGGAUGGAGUAUUAGGAAUUUUGAGGAAAGAACAAGAGACUUGGGAAAGUACUGAUAGAAACUUGCAAGAUGCUUUUCAGGAUUUCAAUGCUCAUAUGGUGUGUCUGACCUAUAUGUGUUUAUAGUUUAUCUGUUAAGUUUAGUUUGUAAUGAUUAUAGGUCACACCAAUGUAAACUAAGAUUUUUCUAAAAUGAGAAUUAUAUAGUCAUACGGGUACUCUUUUUGUAGCUGGCGGAAAGAGCUUUCCAAAUAUAUAAAGUUUGUGAAUUUUGGA